GUAAUCACGUGAUACGCACUCCGAAUCACUGGUUCAAAACAAACGAUUCGCAGGUUUCGAAGCUUUACGAGUGUUUCGAUAGCGCCCAUCACUAAUUACACCUUUAUAUGGGGCAGAGAGAAGACUGCUUCAUUUAUUAAACUGAGGGGUGAAACCUGUGAAUUAUUCACCGGGGCUUGGAAAUGGAUGAUGCUACUGGUCCAAAUAACUCUCCUCACCAGAUUGUGACACAGUUCAGAAAUGAAAAUGAGAUUUUUGUACCAAGACUGAGAUGGACCUGG